rnacentral:hammerhead_ribozyme from 1 species
AUCUAGCUGACGAGUUCUAAAUAGGUCGAAAUGCGCGUCGAACUAGAU